rnacentral:rRNA from 1 species
GACGAACGCUGGCGGCGUGCCUAAUACAUGCAAGUCGAACGCAGUGGGGACGGGUGAGUAACACGUGCGCAACCUCCCAUCAGAGGGGAUAACCCUUGGAAACAGGUGCUAAACUGAUAUUGAUGUAUGGACUCGCGGUGGAUUAGCUAGUUGGUGAGGUAACGGCUCACCAAGGCCACGAUGCAUACCCGACCUGAGAGGAUGAUCGGACACACUGGGACUGAGACACGGCCCAGACUCCUACGGUAGGCAGCAGUGGGGAAUCUUCAGCAAUGGGCGAAAGUCUGACGGAGCAACGCCGCGUGAGUGAAGAAGGUUUUCGGAUCGUAAAGCUCUGUUAUUGGGGAAGCGGUAUCUACCCAGGAAGCCACGGCUAACUACGUGCCAGCCGCCGCGGUAAUAC